UUUUCAGUUGUACGAAUAACUGGAUUUCCGGUGUAAAUAUGACAUGGUUGAGAAAGAGCGUACUAUCGGAGUAAACUACUAUUGUCCGAUAUGAGACUUGGAGAAAGGAAGAAUACGAAGAAGUUGUUCUGCAUCGAUUAGCGAUUUCAGCCCGAAAACAUAUACUGGCCACUGACCGACUUCGAAGUUAAAAGCAUCGUUACGGAUUUAAUAUAAGUUGGGAAAGAAGUCCAGUUGCUGGUACUCGAAGUAGAAGGAAAUAAGACAAACGAGAACGCCGUACUUUCAGCAAAAGAUGCGAGAAUUAAAAUCCAUCCGACUCCAAUUAUAUCGCUUUUGUAAGAAUUUGUACAUGCGUGGUUGGGUGAUUAAAAAAUUAUUCGGUUAACGAAUUAAGCGCAUUGAAACGCGAUGAAACGAGAGAAAAAAUAUUUUAGUUAACAAAGUGAAGAGAAACUUACCGAG